AUCAGUUUAGAUUUAUUUUAAUUACUAUAAUUUAAGAGAGUCAACCAAGGCAAAAGAUCAAUUUCUCUCUCUUCUCUCUCUACGAUUAUUCAGAGAGAGGAAACAUGAUCUUUGUUUCUCCAUCCAGUUUGUUUACUGGUUUUGUCUCUGGUAUGGUCCAGCUUUGUCUACGGCGAGGUUCGGCUUUGUUUCGGCUAUCUGUUGCCGCUUUUUGUUUUUUCUGUUGAAUAAAUUAUGCGAUCUAUAUUAGUGUUGUGGUUUUAGGCGAUUCGUUUUUGCCUAAACACAAUUCUCUCCAACAUAAGAUUGAUGAAUAUGAUGCUUGAGUUCCUGAACCGUUGACGUUUAAUCGGGAAGAUUUUGAAGUUGAAUUUUCAUGAAGUUGAAGAUUUGUUUUUAGAGCUUUGGAAUUGACAAUUGCUAUCACCGGAUUCAACAUGCAUAUCGCGGUGUUCUGGGUUUCUAUGGAGUCAACAAUCUUCUUCGGCGGCGACCAGUGAUUCUCCGAUCUUCUUCUUCUCACGUGUCUUCAGCACCUAACCUUCUCAUGACACGUGUUUUAGGUUCUGUUUCAAUGAUUCUUCUUUCUUCCUGAUGCGGUUUCCUACUUGGGCUUCAUAGUUGGGUUUGAAAAGUCUUACACUUAUGUUUAGUUGAAUUUGGCUCUGUUGUUUGUCUCAAAUUUUGGCUUAUGUUGAUAUAAUAAAGGGAAAUUCACAUUUAUAACC